AACGCAUAUGGCACCCGAGACCUCGGUCGAGGGUAUGUCUGCCUCAGAGUCGGCGUAAAUCAACUCCCUCGUUUGGCCACGCCAAGGAGGGGAACUGACCCUCCCGCGCCGUGGGUGCGGGUCGGUCGAAGGCGAGAAACGGGUGUUGCCGGCCGGUACCGUUCCCGGCUGACCGAGAUUUGUUGGAGGACCAACGUCCGAUCUUCGUCUCGGGACAGGGGAAACGGCUAGCGCCGAGCACUCCCGCCGUGCAGGAAAUCGGGGGGCGCCAGCAAUGGCAAGACCCCCCCUUUCAUCCGACCUGAGUUCAGGCAAGAUCACCCGCUGAACUUAA
rnacentral:misc_RNA from 1 species